rnacentral:rRNA from 1 species
UGCCCUGUACACACGGAUAACAUACCGAAAGGUAUGCUAAUACGGGAUAACAUAAGAAAUUCGCAUGUUUUUCUUAUCAAAGCUCCGGCGGUACAGGAUGGACCCGCGUCUGAUUAGCUAGUUGGUGAGGUAACGGCUCACCAAGGCGACGAUCAGUAGCCGACCUGAGAGGGUGAUCGGCCACAUUGGAACUGAGACACGGUCCAAACUCCUACGGGAGGCAGCAGUGGGGAAUAUUGCACAAUGGGCGAAAGCCCGAUGCAGCAACGCCGCGUAAGCGAUGAAGGCCUUCGGGUCGUAAAGCUCUGUCCUCAAGGAAGAUAAUGACGGUACUUGAGGAGGAAGCCCCGGCUAACUACGUGCCAGCAGCCGCGGUAAUACGUAGGGGGCUAGCGUUAUCCGGAUUUACUGGGCGUAAAGGGUGCGUAGGCGGUCUUUUAAGUCAGGAGUGAAAGGCUACGGCUCAACCGUAGUAAGCUCUUGAAACUGGAGGACUUGAGUGCAGGAGAGGAGAGUGGAAUUCCUAGUGUAGCGGUGAAAUGCGUAGAUAUUAGGAGGAACACCAGUAGCGAAGGCGGCUCUCUGGACUGUAACUGACGCUGAGGCACGAAAGCGUGGGGAGCAAACAGGAUUAGAUACCCUGGUAGUCCACGCCGUAAACGAUGAGUGCUAGCUGUCGGAGGUUACCCCCUUCGGUGGCGCAG